rnacentral:lncRNA from 1 species
AUUCCAGGAACAUGAAGAUAAUGGGCGAGGCAGCCAGUUGGGGGCAAAGAAGGUGUUAAACAGUCAGCCCUGGGCAUGGAUGUCCCCCCUCCUACUGAAGUCCUACAUUCAUGUCUUUCUGGGCCUGGAACUAGAGUUUCAACGACUGCCAACUCCUCCUUCCAGGGGUGAUACGUAUCAAGAGGUUAGAGGGCCGCCCUGGUAUGAUAGGCUUUUCCACAAGCAGCUCCCCUUUGAAGAAAACGGAAGCUUUUCUUGUGUGCAGGGAAGUAUUCCUGGCCCUGUGAAAGUGAACUCAUUCAUCACAAGUCAACCUCGAAGGGUGUCUGGGGAGCAGAAAUCAAGGAGCCAAACAAAAAAGCAAGUGAGGGAGAGAAGAUUUCGAAUGCAAAUCAACCUCCUCAACCCAUUUGAAACAACCUGCUGUGAACUGGGCUAG